rnacentral:rRNA from 1 species
GAUGAACGCUAGCGGCAGGCUUAACGCAUGCAAGUCGAGGGGUAGAGUUAGCUUGCUAACUUGAGACCGGCGCACGGGUGCGUAACGCGUAUGCAAUCUACCUUUUACAGAGGGAUAGCCCAGAGAAAUUUGGAUUAAUACCUCAUAGUAUCUUUGCCUGGCAUCAGGUGAUUAUUAAAGUUCCAACGGUAAAAGAUGAGCAUGCGUCCUAUUAGCUAGAUGGUAAGGUAACGGCUUACCAUGGCAACGAUAGGUAGGGGUCCUGAGAGGGAGAUCCCCCACACUGGUACUGAGACACGGACCAGACUCCUACGGGAGGCAGCAGUGAGGAAUAUUGGACAAUGGGCGCAAGCCUGAUCCAGCCAUGCCGCGUGCAGGAAGAAGCAUCUAUGGUGUGUAAACUGCUUUUGUACGGGAAGAAACACUCCCUCGUGAGGGAGCUUGACGGUACCGUAAGAAUAAGGAUCGGCUAACUCCGUGCCAGCCGCCGCAGUAAUAC